rnacentral:misc_RNA from 1 species
GAUGAAGAACGUAGCGAAAUGCGAUACGUAAUGUGAAUUGCAGAAUUCAGUGAAUCAUCGACUCUUUGAACGCACAUUGCGCCCCCUGGUAUUCCGGGGGGCAUGCCUGUCCGAGCGUCAUUGCUGCCCUCAAGCACGGCUUGUGUGUUGGGCCUCCGUCCUCCUCCCGGGGGACGGGCCCGAAAGGCAGCGGCGGCACCGCGUCCGGUCCUCGAGCGUAUGGGGCUUCGUCACCCGCUCUUGUAGGCCCGGCCGGCGCUUGCCGACACAUCAAUCUUUUUUCCAGGUUGACCUCGGAUCAGGUAGGGAUACCCGCUGAACUUAAGCAUUCAAUAAGCGGAGGA